CCAAUAGCCCGUUAGGACCAGGCCAGAAAUGAUUCUUGUAUUGAAUUCCGCUUCUCCCCCAAUUUCUUUUCUUCGAAGAAAUUUUCAUUUGUGCAAAAAACCCUAGAAAUCUAAUUAAUUGGUUUAUGAUAUCACGAAACGAUCAGUCUUGAUCUCCAUUCAGUGGAAUUAAUCGUAUUGGAAAGAAAAAUGGCGUUGACUAAUUUCAUACUUACUGUGGCCGGAGUGAGCGCCGUCGUGCUGCUGCUGCGGAGCGAUGUGAAGCAGUCCGCCACCAUCUUCCGCCGAAACGUCCGCCAAAUCCGCAGCUGGCUCGAGGAGGAAUCCGCCUCCGCCGCUAAGGAAAUAGAGAAGAAGGCAAAACCCAAGGAAAUUUCAGAGAAAGAUAUCCCCAAGAAAGACUAAGCGUUAGGUUCAAUUUACGUCUAGCACAGGUCGAUCAAUUCUACCGUUGGUUCGUGAGCACCUUCGGGAAAUUUCGUAAAUCGUCCUCCGCUCCCUUGGUAGCUUUGUCUCUGGACUAAAUCUUCUCUUGCUAUUGUGCGACUUCCACAGCCCAAAUUAAAAAUGCCUAUUCCAACGAAGCGGUGACGACUGACGACCUUCUUUGGUCAACUAGUUUCGACCCUAUGAGUUUUGUUUUCUGAAUCCGAUACUAGAGAAUGAGUGUGAUCUACAAAGUUAAUAAUAGUAGUAACAUUUAUUUAAAUUUCUACAAAUACAAUAUUUUGACAAUUUUAAUUUUUAGAAAUUGGUUUCUAAUAUCAUAAAUUUUGCACAAAUUCUGAUUUUUUCCAUAAACUUUAAAGUUUGUGCCGUAAAUUAUGAAUUUUGCACAUAUUUUGUAUUUCCCCGACCCGACCCGAAUUCUAAUUUUCAGAGAAACAUUGUUCCAAGUUGGUGUAUGUAUAAGCAGGAAUCGUGAUUUUCUUCCUCUAAUUCACCUUUCACAAUUAACACCUCUUGUUUUCGCACUGUAAUUGCUCCCUCUCAAUUGCGAAUUUAUUCAGGGAUUGUCGUUGAUUUCUAACUCCGUUCAGCUCUCUAAUGGAGAGCGUACGAAUUUCCUCGUCGUCUCUGCUUGCUUCGAAACCGCCGAUUAACAGUUCUUCAACUGCGUUCUCCCCUCGACAUUUCUACAGCUUAAAUUCGAAAAGAAUUGGUGCGUGCAGAAUUGCAUGUGAUCAUUCCUGCUUCGAAAUAAAGAGCGUCACUUAUCGACCUCCGGGAACUGAGGUUGAUCUUUUGAAUGGAGUCAGCUUCUCCUUACCUGAGAAAAGUUUUGGUCUGAUAUUUGGACGAAGUGGAAGUGGGAAAACAACACUUUUGCAGCUGAUUGCAGGACUAAGUAAACCAACAUCAGGCUCAAUCUAUGUUCAAAGAUAUGGUGAAGAUGGUAAUCCAAAUCAAUGUCCCACACUGUUGCAACCCAGAAGAGUUGGUAUUGUUUUCCAGUUUCCGGAAAGGUUUUUCAUUGCAGACAAUAUUCUUGAUGAAAUUAUAUUUGGGUGGCCAAGACAAAGAGCUGGCCUGCAAUUGAGAGAGAUUCUUGCUUCAAGGCUCCAAAAAGCUAUGACCUCGGUUGGGCUAACUGGAAUCCCUUUGGACAAAGAUCCCCAAUCACUGAGUGGUGGAUACAAACGUCGGCUUGCUCUAGCAAUUCAGUUGGUUCAAACCCCAGACCUAUUAGUACUGGAUGAGCCUCUUGCUGGUCUAGAUUGGAAGGCCCGUGCAGAUGUGGUUAAAUUGUUGAGAGACCUGAAGAAGGAGCUGGCGUUGCUUGUUGUCAGCCAUGACCUUAAAGAGUUGGCACCUCUAGUAGAUCAGUCAUGGAGGAUGGAAAUGGGUGGAAUACUGAAGAGAGAAUGCCUGCCUAUUUAAUUUUGUGUCGUCACCUUCUAAUCAACUAAUGUUGCUGUAAUUAAGGGACAAGAACAGAAGCAUCCAGUAGUAAUUCCUGGCCACAUGAAUAUUGCUAAAGAGGUUAUUUAAGAAGUCCAUUUGGCAAUUACAUGCUGAAGAGAGAGUGGCACGCUAGACAGCUGUGUGAAUGUAAACUACUGUUCUGUUCCAUCAAAAAAAAUAUUUUUCAGCUGAUAACCACAACCAUGCACUGCCCAUGCUCAAUGUAUAAAGGUUUGCUGUACCUCAUCCAUUCAAGCGUCAACACUUGAAAUAUUUGGCUUAAUGCUCACUUCUGUCACAUUGUGCCUGCUAGGUGUAUCCUAGUUUCGCUCAGAUAAUCCUAGUUACCGAGCUAGGUGUAUGACAGGUAGAGUAAUCGAGAAAAAUUCCACCAUGCAAGUUCAAUAUAAUAUUGUCAGCCGCAACAGCAACUUGCUAUAGGCGGAUAGUGACUCCACAGGUUGGUAGAAAAAAAGUCGAUUCAUGCGUUCCCCAACGUGUUUCUGUCUGGUAUACGUGUUAUAGGUCCAUUAUUGUAGUUAUGGAACUGGUGAGACAAAUAUUAGCUGAAUUAAGCAGGCAUGGAAGACUCUCGUUUUCAGCUACACUACAAAAGGGUAACAAACAUAAAAUGUUGCCUUUUUUGGUUGGACAGGAAUGAGUAGGAGUAGAGGGCUAGGGGGUGAAAUGAUGAACAAAUCCCUACAAACACUAGCCUCCACCUUUGCUAGAAUUCUGUACUCACAUGAACUUAGCGAUAAUAAGAGAGUUGUGGCUGUGGCUCCCACAUUGUGUUGCUAGUAUUGAUUUUCUAUUAGAUUAUGAUGCACUUAUCUCUUUCAAGUCUGAUAAUUUUGUGUGGUUAA